CCUGAGAAACGGCUACCACAUCCAAGGAAGGCAGCAGGCACGCAAAUUACCCACUCCCGGCACGGGGAGGUAGUGACAAAAAAUAACGAUACGGGACUCAUCCGAGGCCCCGUAAUCGGAAUGAGUACACUUUAAAUCUUUUAACAAGGAUCCAAUGGAGGGCAAGUCUGGUGCCAGCAGCCGCGGUAAUUCCAGCUCCAUUAGCGUAUAUUAAAGUUGUUGCAGUUANNNNNNNNNNNNNNNNNNNNNNNNNNGCGCUGUCGGUUCACCGCCUGCCGGUGCAACUGGCAUGCCGCGGGAUGUCCUGUCGGUGGCGGUCGUGACCCACGGCUCGUUGAGGCUCAGGCCGAAGCGUGCCGAUGUGUGUCAGGCCGCCGAUUCAAUCCUGCCGCGGUGCUCUUCACUGAGUGUCGAGGUAGGCCGACACGUUUACUUUGAACAAAUUAGAGUGCUCAAAGCAGGCUGAAUUCUGCCUGGAUAUUGUUGCAUGGAAUAAUGGAAUAGGACCUCGGUUCUAUUUUGUUGGUUUUCGGAAUCCGAGGUAAUGAUCAAUAUGGACAGUCGGGGGCAUUCGUAUUCUUGGCAAAUGCUUUCGCGGUGAAAUUCUUGGAUCGUCGCAAGACGGACUAGAGCGAAAGCAUUUGCCAAGUAUGUCUUAGUUGAUCAAGAACGAAAGUUAGAGGUUCGAAGGCGAUCAGAUACCGCCCUAGUUCUAACCAUAAACGAUGCCAGCCAGCGAUCCGCCGAUGUUCCUCCGAUGACUCGGCGGGCAGCUUCCGGGAAACCAAAGCUUUUGGGUUCCGGGGGAAGUAUGGUUGCAAAGCUGAAACUUAAAGGAAUUGACGGAAGGGCACCACCAGGAGUGCAGCCUGCGGCUUAAUUUGACUCAACACGGGAAACCUCACCAGGCCCAGACAUUGGAAGGAUUGACAGAUUGAUAGCUCUUUCUUGAUUCAGUGGGUAGUGGUGCAUGGCCGUUCUUAGUUGGUGGAGCGAUUUGUCUGGUUAAUUCCGAUAACGAACGAGACUC
rnacentral:rRNA from 1 species